AGAGGGGGAUGUGCACGGCGCGCACAGGAUGAGCGAGACCGGAGGUCGGGGUGGUGCCUCUGGCCCCGAAAGGCAGGCACCGGUGCACAGAGAGAAGGCCCCGGCCACAGGAGGUCCGCGCUCCGCUCUUGGCUCUGAGCGAGGAGAUCUUUCCACCUUUCUGAACCCCAAGUCUCCCCACCUCUAAAGGAGCAGAAAGGUUAGGGGAGCUGGGUUGCGGAGCUCCCCGGGGACCGCCAGCAUUCCGGCAUCGGAGAGGAAGAAUUGAGGCUCCAGAAGACACAGGCGGCUUGUCAGAAGUCACAUGGCUAGUCAAAGGGCACAGAACACAAGUGCUUCGAACCCCAAACGUGUCCUCUUCUCCCUCCCUCCCCCUCUGUGCAGUAGACAUAUGUAAUUUUCUCUGUCCAUUCAUUCCUUUGGGACAUCAGUCCUAUUCCCUGUGGUGUAAUAAAGA